UAAGCUUUGUGAAGAACAACAAGAACUAAAAUACUUGCCUGCUGUUUGGUCUCAUGCAAACACAACAACAACAACAACAACAACAAAGCCUUUUCCCACUAAGUGGGGUCGGCUAUAUGAAUCCUAGAACGCCAUUGCGCUCGGUUUUGUGUCAUGUCCUCCGUUAGAUCCAAGUACUCUAAGUCUUUUCUUAGAGUCUCUUCCAAAGUUGUCCUAGGUCUUCCUCUACCCCUUCGGCCCUGAACCUCUGUCCCGUAGUCACAUCUUCGAACCGGAGCGUCAGUCGGCCUUCUUUGCACAUGUUCAAAAUCACCGGAGCCGAUUUUCUCUCAUAUUUCCUACAAUUUCGGCUACUCCUACUUUACCUCGGAUAUCCUCAUUCCCAAUCUUAUCCUUUCUCGUGUGCCCACACAUCCCACGAAGCAUCCUCAUCUCCGCUACACCCAUUUUGUGUACGUGUUGAUGCUUCACCACCCAACAUUCUGUGCCAUACAACAUCGCUAGCCUUAUUGCCGUCCUAUAAAAUUUUCCCUUGAGCUUCAGUGGCCUACGACGGUCACACAACACGCCGGAUGCACUCUUUCCAUCCAGCUCGUAUUCUAUGGUUGAGAUCUCCAUCUAAUUCUCCGUUCUCUUGCAAGAUAGAUCCUAGGUAGCGAAAACGAUCGCUUUUUGUGAUCUUCGCUAGAUUGCUCCGGUCAUUAGUGUGGAUAAGUAUAUAAAUGGAUAGAGAUAGGAAAGCAAACACAAGAUGUACGUGGUUCACCCAGAUUGGCUACGUCCACGGAAUAGAAGAGUUCUCAUUAAUUGUGAAGGGUUUACACAAGUACAUAGGUUCAAGCUCUCAUUUAGUGAGUACAAGUGAAUGAUUUAGUACAAAUGACAUUAGGAAAUAUUGUGGGAGAAUGAUCUCGUAAUCACGAAACUUCUAAGUAUCGGAGUGUGGUGUCGUCUUGACUUGCCUUAUCUGUCUCAUAGGUAGAUGUGGCAUCUUCUCUGGAAGUACUCUUCCUCCAUCCAGGGGUGAUAUCUUUAACUGGUGGAGAUGCACAAGGUAAUGUAUCAAUUUCACUUGAAGCUUACUUGUAGUUUCAGGCUUGGUCAAGCGCGAUACAAACCAUGUAGUAGGAGUCCCCCAAGUCGCCGAGUUAGGGGGUCUGCUGAAAGAGGUGACAGACAAGGUAAGCAAUCAGAGCUCCGACUGAUUGUUCACCUUCUCCCCAUCUUGCAGCAGCAUGAAGGAUAAAGAGAAGAAAAAUGAGAAGAGAUGAUAUGAGAUACUUUUGCUUUUGAAGAAGUAACUUUCCACAGGCUUAUUCUUGAACUGAGCUGGAGGGUUUUCUGGUUUCCUCCAGAGUAUAAGGCCGACUGAAGAAUUUGAGGGUCAAAACAAGUCCAUCAAAUCUAGAGUACGUUCCACCCUGCUGAUAUGUGAUACUUUUGCUUUUGACAGAGUAAUGAAUGUAUCGGCACGUGUGCUGUUACGCUUGUCUCCACAUGCUUCCUUGUAUCCUUCGCACUUGCCCUAUCUGUUCCUCAAGCAGAUGCGGAAUCUUCCCUGGAAACAUAAGAUGUUGAAGAUGAGUACUCGAGAGCAAUGCCAGGUAAGUAAUUAGGUAAGGGGUUCCAGGCAAACACAAUACAUCAAAAUCUUCCACAUGGGAAAACAGGAAAGUAGAGAUUCCCUGAAAAUAAACAUUCAAUGAUCCAAAUAUCAAAAGAUAGAAAGCAUUACAAAGGGUAGUGGCAAAGUGAAAAUAAACAUAAAAACAAUAAUUACUUCAAACAGAAAGUGCUGCACAAGAAAAUUGAACUGACUGAAACAGCUUUUAUUCUAUAGAAUUUUCAUUAAUUGAAUGAAUGAAUUAAUCAUGUAUGAACAAUUAGACGAGUGUUACAAAAAAUGACAUCAUAUGAACUAGUUUACAUUCAACUAAUCUAUCCAAAACAUAUAUAACUAUUCUAACUAACAGAGACAUU
rnacentral:lncRNA from 1 species